AUGAAGUUUGAACCAGCCCUUAGCUUGCAUUUGGUCAGUUCAUCUUUCAGGAGAAUAUGCAUCUUACUUAGUUCGAGGUUGGUACUCUCUGAAUUUCUUGAUGAGCGUUCCCGUUGCUGCACCGCAUUGUGGCCGAGUCCUCUUCUGGGUCAUGCCAGUGACAUGAGCAGGAUGGUGUAUACCGGCUUCCCAGACAUGUGUCUGUCGAGGCCGCACCGGUUUGUGGAGGUGAUGGCACGAGUAUUUACCAGGAUGCUUGGAGAUGCGUUGGCAUAUGUCCAGAACAACCUGGUCCACGCAUGGGGUCUGACUUGA
rnacentral:rRNA from 1 species